rnacentral:rRNA from 1 species
GACGAACGCUGGCGGCGUGCUUAACACAUGCAAGUCGAACGAAGUGGCGAACGGGUGAGUAACGCGUAAUCAACCUGCCCUUCAGAGGGGGACAACAGUUGGAAACGACUGCUAAUAACGCAUACUGCAGGAGGGGAUUGCGUCUGAUUCGCUAGUUGGAGGGGUCAAGGCCCACCAAGGAGAUGAUCAGUAGCCGGUCUGAGAGGAUGAACGGCCACAUUGGGACUGAGACACGUCCCAGACUCCUAAGGUAGGCAGCAGUGGGGAAGCUGCCGCAAUGGACGAAAGUCUGACGGAGCAACGCCGCGUGAGUGAUGACGGCCUUCGGGUUGUAAAGCUCUGUUAAGCGGGACGCGGUACCGGAAUAGAAAGCCACGGCUAACUACGUGCCAGCAGCCGCGGUAAUUC